GUGCAGCAGGCGCGAAACCUCCGCAAUACACGAAAGUGUGACGGGGCCAUCCCGAGUGCCGUCCGCUGAGGACGGCUUUUCCCCAGUGUACACAGCUGGGGGAAUAAGGAGAGGGCAAGCCUGGUGUCAGCCGCCGCGGUAAUACCAGCUCUCCGAGUGGUGGGGACGCUUAUUGGGCCUAAAGCAUCCGUAGCCGGCUGGGCAAGUCCUCCGUUAAAUCCAACGAUUCAAUCGUUGGGCUGCGGGGGAUACUGUCCAGCUUGGGGGCGGGAGAGGCCGACGGUAUUCCCGGGGUAGGGGUGAAAUCCUAUAAUCCCGGGAGGACCACCAGUGGCGAAGGCUGUCGGCUAGAACGCGCCCGACGGUGAGGGAUGAAAGCUGGGGGGAGCGAACC
rnacentral:rRNA from 1 species